rnacentral:rRNA from 1 species
AUACGGAAGGUCCGGGCGUUAUCCGGAUUUAUUGGGUUUAAAGGGAGCGCAGGCGGCUUGUUAAGCGUGACGUGAAAUGUACCGGCUCAACCGGUGACUUGCGUCGCGAACUGGCUGGCUUGAGUGCGUACGAGGAUGGCGGAAUUCGUGGUGUAGCGGUGAAAUGCUUAGAUAUCACGAAGAACUCCGAUUGCGAAGGCAGCUGUCCAGUCCGUAACUGACGCUAAUGCUCGAAGGUGCGGGUAUCGAACAGGAUUAGAUACCCUGGUAGUCCGCACGGUAAACGAUGGAUGCCCGCUGUCUGCGAUACAAUGUAGGCGGCCAAGCGAAAGCGUUAAGCAUCCCACCUGGGGAGUACGCCGGCAACGGUGAAACUCAAAGGAAUUGACGGGG